rnacentral:rRNA from 1 species
UACGGAGGAUCCAAGCGUUAUCCGGAAUCAUUGGGUUUAAAGGGUCCGUAGGCGGCCCAGUAAGUCAGUGGUGAAAUCUCCCGGCUCAACCGGGAAAUUGCCAUUGAUACUGCGGGUCUCGAGUCCGGGAGAGGUGAGUGGAAUUCCUAGUGUAGAGGUGAAAUUCGUGAGAUAUUAGGAAGAACACCAGUGGCGAAGGCGGCUCACUGGCCCGAUACUGACGCUGAGGUGCGAAAGCGUGGGGAGCAAACAGG